rnacentral:sRNA from 1 species
GACUUGCCAUAGAGCUACAAUUCCUCUCAGGUUAAACAAAAUGGCAAUUAACGGUGCACGGACAAUUGAGCAACUUUUAGACUGAUUAAUCUUUCUGUAAAAGAUUUUGUGAAAAUACCCAUAAUCUCAUUAAAUACUUAGACAAGUUACCGCCGAUGUCGUAACUUUUCUUGCGAAAAAACUACUUUAAAAAUGUUAUUUCAUUAUCAAAAUAUACAGUCUGAUAUAACAGUCUGUCCUCGAUUAUUAUGCUUUUUCUAAUUUUCAUUGUAUAUAUUGUAUAUCUAUGCUGAAUAUUUACUAUUUAUCUACUACAUAUCUAUUAAUUUAUAAAAUGUAUCUCUGAAUUUUAAACUGUAUAUAAUGAUUGACCUCUUGUACUUUUUCAUGGUUUGAGCGAAUAAACUGAAUUGAAUUG